CUAAGAGAGUCACAGCAGGAGCAUUGGUGCCCUUGUGUGCGUCAUUUGAGAGGGACAACUGCAGCUCAACCAUAGUACCUGACCUUCUUUCUUCUGUCUUCCCUCUGAACACAGCCUCAUCUGGCCCAAGCACUUUGGAGCACUCAAGUUUUCAUUUAUUCCAUUGGAGGAUCUGCACAAGUAAUAAGUAAUUCAAGAGAUAAAGAUGCUGUAAGCACAGCAAUUACAGAGUUACAGACAUAAACAAGAGGAUUGUCAGAAGCUCACGGUAUAUGUCUGCAAAAUGACUGCAUUCAAAAUCAGAGUCUUCCAUGUGGUUCAUCGAACAGAAUUGUACCAAAGCGUUCUGAGCAUUCCUGUACCU